rnacentral:SRP_RNA from 1 species
ACCAGGCGCAGUGGCACGUGCCUGUAGUCUCAGCUACUUGGGAGGCUGAGGUAGGAGGAUCGCUUGAGCCCAGGAGUUCUGGGCUGUAGUGCGCUAUGCCAAUCGGGUGUCUGCACUAAGUUCCACAUCAAUAUUGUGACCUCCUGGGAGCGGGGGACCACCAAGUUGCCUAAGAAGAAAUGAACCGGCCCAGAUCAGAAAUGGAGCAGGUCAAAACUCCCAUGCUGAUCAGUAGUGGGAUCUCAUUUGUGAAUAGCCACGGCACUCCAGCCUGGGCAACAUAGCGAGACCUGAUCUCU